rnacentral:rRNA from 1 species
UACGUAGGGUGCAAGCGUUAUCCGGAAUUAUUGGGCGUAAAGAGCUCGUAGGCGGUUUGUCGCGUCUGCUGUGAAAACUGGAGGCUCAACCUCCAGCCUGCAGUGGGUACGGGCAGACUAGAGUGCGGUAGGGAGAUUGGAAUUCCUGGUGUAGCGGUGGAAUGCGCAGAUAUCAGGAGGAACACCGAUGGCGAAGGCAGAUCUCUGGGCCGUAACUGACGCUGAGGAGACGAAAGCAUGGGGAGCGAACAGG